rnacentral:lncRNA from 1 species
GAGCUAUUCUCAGUCCACUGGCAAGAAAUGAACCAGAGGAAAUGGCAUCUUCACCCCUUUUUUAUUGUUGAAAGAGCCUGGAAACUAGCAAGAGUUCAAGACCAAGAGAAAGCUGUGGGCACUUGGAUAAGUCUAAAAAUCCUCAGAGUCCAGAUAAGCAAGAUUUGACAAGAGUUUCCAUGGAGACAGAACAUAACUUAUUACUGGCCUAUAAACUAGAUAAUUUGACCAGCGAUCUGCAGACAGGACUGUUGCUUCUUUCCUCAACUUUGCUCCAGGCCAUAAUGAUGAAAGCAAAAACACUUGUAUCUGUGUUUCUAACAGCUUUGAGGAGAGAGGCUGCUCAAGAGAGAAA